UUGUUGGGUAGGGGAGCGUUCUGUAAGCCGUUGAAGGUGUCCUGUGAGGGGUGCUGGAGGUAUCAGAAGUGCGAAUGCUGACAUAAGUAACGAUAAAGCGGGUGAAAAGCCCGCUCGCCGGAAGACCAAGGGUUCCUGUCCAACGUUAAUCGGGGCAGGGUGAGUCGACCCCUAAGGCGAGGCCGAAAGGCGUAGUCGAUGGGAAACGGGUUAAUAUUCCCGUACUUGGUGUUACUGCGAAGGGGGGACGGAGAAGGCUAUGUUGGCCGGGCGACGGUUGUCCCGGUUUAAGCGUGUAGGUGUGUGUUCCAGGUAAAUCCGGUUCACUUUAACACUGAGGCGUGAUGACGAGGCACCACGGUGCUGAAGCAACAAAUGCCCUGCUUCCAGGAAAAGCCUCUAAGCAUCAGGUAACAUCAAAUCGUACCCCAAACCGACACAGGUGGUCAGGUAGAGAAUACCAAGGCGCUUGAGAGAACUCGGGUGAAGGAACUAGGCAAAAUGGUGCCGUAACUUCGGGAGAAGGCACGCUGACACGUAGGUGAAGUGAUUUACUCAUGGAGCUGAAGUCAGUCGAAGAUACCAGCUGGCUGCAACUGUUUAUUAAAAACACAGCACUGUGCAAACACGAAAGUGGACGUAUACGGUGUGACGCCUGCCCGGUGCCGGAAGGUUAAUUGAUGGGGUCAGCGCAAGCGAAGCUCCUGAUCGAAGCCCCGGUAAACGGCGGCCGUAACUAUAACGGUCCUAAGGUAGCGAAAUUCCUUGUCGGGUAAGUUCCGACCUGCACGAAUGGCGUAAUGAUGGCCAGGCUGUCUCCACCCGAGACUCAGUGAAAUUGAACUCGCUGUGAAGAUGCAGUGUACCCGCGGCAAGACGGAAAGACCCCGUGAACCUUUACUAUAGCUUGACACUGAACAUUGAGCCUUGAUGUGUAGGAUAGGUGGGAGGCUUUGAAGCGUGGACGCCAGUCUGCGUGGAGCCGACCUUGAAAUACCACCCUUUAAUGUUUGAUGUUCUAACGUGGACCCGUAAUCCGGGUUGCGGACAGUGUCUGGUGGGUAGUUUGACUGGGGCGGUCUCCUCCUAAAGAGUAACGGAGGAGCACGAAGGUUGGCUAAUCCUGGUCGGACAUCAGGAGGUUAGUGCAAUGGCAUAAGCCAGCUUGACUGCGAGCGUGACGGCGCGAGCAGGUGCGAAAGCAGGUCAUAGUGAUCCGGUGGUUCUGAAUGGAAGGGCCAUCGCUCAACGGAUAAAAGGUACUCCGGGGAUAACAGGCUGAUACCGCCCAAGAGUUCAUAUCGACGGCGGUGUUUGGCACCUCGAUGUCGGCUCAUCACAUCCUGGGGCUGAAGUAGGUCCCAAGGGUAUGGCUGUUCGCCAUUUAAAGUGGUACGCGAGCUGGGUUUAGAACGUCGUG
rnacentral:rRNA from 1 species